CCAGAGAGCGUCUCCGUUGGUUGAGAGCUGGGAAUGGGCAGAUGGACAGGUAGGCGGGGGCGCGAGGAGGCUGGAGCUCAUGGGCGGCCGCGGGGAUGCGGUCCUGAAGCCGGCGCUUCGGAAGGCAGAAUGUCACUGGCUGCUUAUUGUGGGAUUUGUUGUCGAAAGAUAGGAACUCUUGGUUCAGCCCAGAAGACUGACCAAUCAUGGAAAGACAUCCGGAAAUUUGCAAAAUUAACUGGCUCACUUAUUCUAGGUGGUUGCAUCUUUGCUAUAUAUGAAGUUCUGGCUUUAAGGAAGUUGUUCUCUUUCGAUACCCAAGUGGUACAGCAAGAAAAACUGAAGUCCUACAUUUAUUUACAAACAGUUUCUUUAGAUCCCAGUGAAUAUCAAGGGAUUAUUUACCAAGUGAGAAAAGAACUUCACAGAGCAGCAAGGAAAAUACUAGAAACAAAUGCUAGAAUUUUCCGAAGACCAUUUGAUGAACGCUUCAGUACUUAUGACGCAGAUGAGCAUGAGUGUGCCUUGUGGCUCCUUGUGAAAAGGAGCCAGUCAGAAGAUAAAAUGGUCCGAUUACAAGCUGUGCAGGAAUUAGCCUCCAAUCGCUACUGGCAUGAUUAUCAGUAUAGGACAGCUGCCCAAGCAAGUGAUCAGAAAACUACUAUUGGUUUAGCUCGAAGUAAAGAUGUUGACCUGCGGUUUUUCCUGCUACCCCAUCUUUUACCAAAACAAAAAGAUGCUUGUUAUUCAGAAGAUGAACUUAUGCUGUUGCUGGCAGCUUUACCUCAGACAGAUCUUGACCCAUGUGUACAAUAUUUUACAUCAUUGGCUUUAAGAGAAAGCAGCCAGACCAUCGCUGCACGGAAGGGGGGCUUAUGGUGUUUUGGUGGAAAUGGGCUUCCUUAUUGUGAAAGUCUCAGUACUAUCCCUUCAAAGGCUGUAGAACUCUUCUGCUUACAAGCCUUAGUGCAUCAUUCCAAGAUUCCUAGUCAUUGUGAUGAAAUUGAAGCAAGUGGGGGGCUUCAGCUGCUGCAAAAACUAUACCAAAUCCGCAAGGAUUCCCCCCAAAUACAGAGGAGCAUCAUUCACAUAAUUGGGAACAUGGCGCUUAAUGAACAGCUUCAUUCAUCUAUAUUUUGUGCAGGUUGGGUUUCUAUACUUGCUCAUAUGAUGAAGUCUCCACGUGUCAUGGAAUCCUCCCAUGCAGCAAGAGCCUUGGCCAACCUAGACAGGGAUACGGUGCAGGAGAAGUAUCCAGAAGGAGUAUAUCUUUUGCACCCACAAUAUCGAACCAAUGAGCCUAUUAAAGCUGAUGUCCUUUUCGUUCAUGGUCUUUUGGGAGCAGCAUUUAAAACAUGGCGGCAACAGGACAUAGAGCAGCCUGCUGCUGAGAAGGAAGUGGAUACAGAAGAUGAUUAUACAGAGUGUUGGCCAAAGACAUGGUUGGCAUCUGACUGCCCAUCACUUAGAAUUAUAUCUGUGGAGUAUGAUACACAUCUGAGUGACUGGAGAGCAAAAUGUCCCGUGGACAGCUACAGGGAGUCUCUUUCGUACAAGAGCACUGAGCUUCUCAAGAAACUGCGAUCUGCUGGUGUUGGAGAUAGACCUCUUGUAUGGCUGUCACACAGCAUGGGGGGUCUCCUAGUCAAGAAGAUGCUUCUGGAUGCUUCCAAGGACUCUGAUAUGAAUUCCAUUGUAAACAACACCCAGGGAAUUGUGUUUUAUAGCGUCCCUCAUCAUGGCUCCAGGUUGGCUGAAUACUCAAAAACUAUUAGAUUUCUGCUUUUUCCCUCUGUGGGCGUUAAGGAGCUCAGCAAAGAUUCUCCUGACCUUAAAGUACUGAACGAUGACUUUCUCUCAUUUGCCAAGAAUAAGAACCUUCCUGUAUUGAGUUUUGCAGAAACAAUGCCAACGCGAGUCAGUAGAGUGCUGAGCCUGCAUGUAGUACCAGUGGAAUCUGCAGAUUUAGGCAUAGGAGAACUCAUUCCCAUAGAUGUCAGCCACUUGAAUAUUUGCAAACCGAAGAACAAGGACUCUUUCCUCUACCAACGCACAGUAAAGUUUAUUCGAGAGUCUUUAGAAAGAAAGCUGGGAAACUGAGGAACUGCGCACCAGAGCUUUGCUUCUUUGAUGUAAUUCCUAACACAUUCCUGGACUAAAACGGGGGCUGAAUUGACAGCAAUUACUUGCAGAUGUAACAACACCUAAGACAAGCAUGGGAAACUUGUGAGCCUCUCAUCAUUCCUAAUCCUGCCUGAGUUCAAAUCGCCUGUAGGUUUGCAGGUUCCUCGCUCUUGGCUUAAAGGUAAAGACUAUAAAACACAGCUGCACUCUUAACGCCCACAAAACUCUCAACCAAGCUUUACUAACCACUUGAUGGUGCAUGAUGUUGUUUCAUUUUGGAAACUAAGUAGGUCAGAGCCUGACCAAGUGCAGACCAAAGGAGGGCGGCCUGGAAAGCCUCACAUCUGCCACUGGGCUUGAGAGUUCAAGCCGCCAUAACAGAGCUAUCCAAACAUCCAUCCACCUCCACCCCAAGAAUUGGCUUAAAGUGCUUACUGAGCACAGUGAAGCUGGCUAUUGGGGCCGCCAACUUCUAGCCCUGCUCCCGUGCCUUUAAUAGCCUGUAAAAUUCAUUAAUUAGGUAGCCAAAACUUUUGUCAAACAGUCUUUAACAACAAGACUCCAAGGGUCACCUAGUCCAACUCCCUGCAAUGCAGGAAUCUCAACUAAAGCAUCCAUGGCAGGUGGCCAUCCAACCUCUGCUUAAAAACCUCCAAUGAAGGAGAGUCUACUAUCUUUGGAGGGAGUCCAUUCCACUGUCAAAACAGUUCUUACCAUCAGAAAGUUCUUCCUGAUGUUUAGUCGGAAUCUUCUUUCUUGUAACUUGAAGCCAUUGGUUCGGGUCCUAGCCUCUGAAGCAAUUCACAUAUAACUUGGUGCUACUUUUUAAGACACACACACACACACACACACACACACACACACACACACAAUCCAUGAGUAGCAUAGCUUAUGAGCUAAGAAAGAGCACAUGAAUUUUUGCUGUAGACAUUUCUGUGAACAUGAAUGUACAGUGGUUGUGGUGUAUAACAAUAAUUUGUGCUAGUCAACCAAAUGCUGACUUCUUCCUGUCACAUGAGCCAGUAGCUUACAGAUCUCUGGGGGGAAAUCUGCCCUCCAUUCCCUUACCCUCCAGCCUUUGGUUAAGCUAGCAGUGAGGAUCCUCUGCCCCAUGGCUUCUGAAUUUAGCCUGUGAGACCAUUUUGGGCAAUCCAUGGCCAUCCAUGGUCAUAUGACAGAUUUCUGCCAGAGUGGUGCAUGCUCUAGUUAUCUCCCGCUUGGACUACUGCAAUGCGCUCUAUGUGGGGCUACCUUUGAAGGUGACCCAGAAACUACAACUAAUCCAGAAUGUGGCAGCUAGACUGGUGACGGAGCGACCGCCGAGACCACAUAACACCGGUCUUGAAAGAUCUACAUUGGCUCCCAGUACAUUUUCGAGCACAAUUCAAAGUGUUGGUGCUGACCUUUAAAGCCCUAAAUGGCCUCGGUCCAAGUAUACCUGAAGGAGCGUCUCCACCCCCAUCAUUCUGCCCGGACACUGAGGUCCAGUGCCGAGGGCCUUCUGGCAGUUCCCUCGUUGCAAGAAGCCAAGUUGCAGGGAACCAGGAAGAGGGCCUUCUCGGUGGUGGCGCCCUCCAUGUGGAACACCCUCCCAUCAGAUGUCAGAGAGAAAAACAGCUACCAGAUUUUUAGAAGACAUCUGAAGGCAGCCCUGUUUAGGGAGGCUUUUAAUGUUUAAUAGAUUGUUUUAUUUCAUUUUUCUGUUGGAAGCCCCCCAGAGUGGCUGGGGAAACCCAGCCAUAUGGGCGGGGUAUAAAUAAAUAAAUUCUUAUUCUUAUUAGUGUUAAGUGCUAAGAUCAGAGAUAAGGGAUUUCUUCACAUGACAGCACUAAGAUGGGAGAUGAGCCUCUUCUUGCUACUUAAUAGUAAAAAGCAUCAACAGAGGCUUAUCUCCAGUCUUGGUGCUGUGGGACCAGUAAGCUUAACCAUUCAGCUCACAUCUUGUUAUGUGGGAUUGAGUGUUCUCUUUCCAUGUGCUCUGCAGGGCAGGAGGGGAGAGCUGUGCUGUGUCAUCCUUUUUGAAAUAUGAGUGGCUGAAGAAACUUGGAGAUGUAAGGGGCAAUAACUUGCCAUGCUCUCUUCCUACUCUGUUUUGUAGUCCUGAUAAAAUGUUAAAGCUAAGGCCCAGCUCACAUGUGUAUGUACAUCAUUUAAUCUCCCAUCAAGCUUGAUGGCUGAUAAGAUGAAUGUUUAAACUAUCUGUGAAAACUGUCACGUGAAACACCUUUUACACCAAAUCUGUAGAAAGUAUUGUGUCUAACUAACAUGUGAUUUGUUUAUGAUAUUUCACUUUGACAUGACGUAGGUGAUGAGUGGACAAAUAAACAUGUGACCUUGUGCUAAACUGUAUAAUGGGUAACAAAACGCCUUGAUGAGGAACAACCAUGAAACUGAAAUUCAGUCUUCUUCUCCUAUGCCAUGAAUUAUUGAAAUAUUGUGUCUCUUAUCAGCUGUGAGAAUGUAUGUGGAUUUAUUUAGACACAGUUCUCUGUACGUAUUCCUAGAGUUGUAUCCUAAAGCACAGUUUUUUAGCCUGGAAAUCAAAGUUCUGAUUUCCCAUCAAAAACAUUUUAAAAACAGUCAAGCCACUUGACAGCUAACUUUUAUUAUUAUUAUACCAAUACUUGUUUUUUUAUUUGUAUUUGUUCAGACUGAGCAGCGUGAACUGCAAUUGAUUGCACAGAGGACGCUACUGGCAAGAUCUAAGUUUUAAUGAGAUAGCUCACCAGUGAGCCAGUUAUAGGAUAUAGUGCCAAAGGCCAGACACUUCACUUCUUCAAGUAGUGUAAUAAGAAUAACUUUUAUUUGCAAUUUAUAAAUCGACUUAAAUUGGUUUUCCUUCUAAUGCUUUUAUUAUCAUGCAAAUGAGCUGCCACAAAGCUGUUAAAUUAUCUUUGUUGCAGAGAAUAUUGGCACGAACUAUAAACCAUGCUCCUUUUUUUAAUAGGCAUUCAUGUUUUAUGUUGAAAUGUAGCCAUAAAUAUCCAGUGAUACUUUUUAAUUUCUUCAUUAAAGAGGAAGGGUGAGGGGUUUUGUAACACGUUCCGCAGGAGUUUAGCUGUAGAUUGUCAUUUGUCCCUACCCACCUUUGAUUUGUGUGGGACUCUCAAAAAAAGCCUCUUACCUUUUGCUAAGUGUUGAGAAUGAAAAGGAUAGGUGGAAAGUAGCAAAGGGGUUGGGAACUGGAGCUGGCUGGUGGGCUGGAUCCUCGUCUCCCCUGCCUGCUGUGAGCCAUAUGUGACAAGUGGGCAUCACACAUGACAUCAGGCAGGUGGUGUGACUUGUGAACCAAAUGGCAUCGCCUGGCAAGCCUAAUUGGGUCCAUGAGCAGGAUGUUUCCCACCACUGCAGUAGCAUUUCUGUUCUAAGUUCUGAUCCAGAAAUGUACCUGUGCAGAAGUAGGCUGUGUGCAUGGC